AUACGGAGGGGGCUAGCGUUGUUCGGAAUUACUGGGCGUAAAGCGCGCGUAGGCGGAUUGAUCAGUCAGGGGUGAAAUCCCGAGGCUUAACCUCGGAACUGCCUUUGAUACUGUCAACCUUGAGUUCGAGAGAGGUGAGUGGAAUUCCUAGUGUAGAGGUGAAAUUCGUAGAUAUUAGGAAGAACACCAGUGGCGAAGGCGGCUCACUGGCUCGAUACUGACGCUGAGGUGCGAAAGCGUGGGGAGCAAACAGGAUUAGAAACCCUAGUAGUCC
rnacentral:rRNA from 1 species